rnacentral:misc_RNA from 1 species
GCCAGAUAAGGCCAAAAACAUUAGUGAAGAAUGAAUUACUUUUUUUUUUUACCUUUCCUCCCUAGUUCUGAACUCUUUUCCUUUCUGGGAUAAGAUAAUGAGAUAAAUACUCCAUAAUUAUGUAAUUAUGUGACGCUUUUAUUUCCCUUGCACAUGUUGUUCACAGUUGAGAAAAAUACUAACCUGUGAAAAGCUUCCAAAUUUCCAGAGAAUUUGAUUGACCUGCUUGAUUGAAU